AGCGAACGCUGGCGGCAGGCCUAACACAUGCAAGUCGAACGAACCCUUCGGGGUUAGUGGCGGACGGGUGAGUAACACGUGGGAACGUGCCUUUAGGUUCGGAAUAACUCAGGGAAACUUGUGCUAAUACCGAAUGUGCCCUUCGGGGGAAAGAUUUAUCGCCUUUAGAGCGGCCCGCGUCUGAUUAGCUAGUUGGUGAGGUAAUGGCUCACCAAGGCUACGAUCAGUAGCUGGUCUGAGAGGAUGACCAGCCACAUUGGGACUGAGACACGGCCCAAACUCCUACGGGAGGCAGCAGUGGGGAAUCUUGCGCAAUGGGCGAAAGCCUGACGCAGCCAUGCCGCGUGGAUGAUGAAGGUCUUAGAAUUGUAAAGCUCUUUUGGCGGGGACGAUAAUGACGGUACCCGCAGAAUAAGCCCCGGCUAACUUCGUGCCAGCCGCCGCAGUAAAAC
rnacentral:rRNA from 1 species